UCUGAGCCGUGUCCAUGUGGGUGAAGUUAGCGGCUUUCCCGGUCACCCACGGGUGCUGCAGGGCCUGCUGCGUCGUCAGCCGCUUCUUUGAGUCCUUGACGAUCAACUUCUUCACCUGCAAACAGGAAGAAACAGACGACCACAUGUCAACUUCGGGCCCGUAGGCACACCCCCGGAGGAUCUCUGGAGCUGGAACAGGCAGAAGCAGAGGUGAGGGUGAGAGAAAGAAGUUGGAUAAAUGAUCAUUUUAUUAGCUAGAUCUGUUUUAAUGUGCUCACUCAGACUUGAUUUUGUUAAUCCGUUAACCUAAUUAACUAGGCUGAAUUGUUUAGAACUGCUUAUCCCACACAGCCUGGAGCUUAUUGAGCUCGGGGCACAAGGUGGGGGACACCCUGGAUGGGGUGCCAACUCUUUUAAGAGCACUAAUGCACACUAUAGACAAUUUGGAAAUGCCAAUCAGCCUACAAUGUGUGUCUUUGGACUGGGGAGGAAACUGGAGUACCUGGAGGAAGCAGGGAGAGCAUGCAGCCUUCGUGCACAGAGGGCGGAGGCGAGAUUUGAACCCCCAACACCCAACGCAUUGCCGAGGUUGCCGUUCUUGAGCGAUCGAUCAAGGGUGAUAAACGUGUCUUUGGCUGUUCGAACGCAUGUCAAGUACGGCUUAGCCCGGGGCUAUGAGACGUACUAUAUUUGGAUGAGAGAGGCGCAGCAGGACUCCGAUCUCUGUUCGUACAAUCUUCUUGUCAACCUGGCGGGAAAAAAAGCACGGAGUUAUUGUUGAAGAUGAGCGAGAGGAUGUGGAUGUGGCUCAGUAGAGAAGUUCAGCAUUUUAACCGUCUUAACUGAAAAUAAAAGACUAUGAAGUCUAAAUGGGUAUUUUACAUGUUUUUUUUAAUCUGGUGGGGGGGGGGGCAUUUAUUUAUUUUUGCUACUGUGUUUGUGGCUCUUCUCUGACUUUAGAAGAAAACAUCACUGCAAAUCGUUACAAAGUUCUUCUGACUGAUCACUACGAUGAAACGUCGCUAUCCCGAUGGGCGUGGUCUUUUCCAGGAUGACUCCGCCCUUAUUCACAGAGAACGGGGGGCUCACUGAAUGGUGUAACGAGGAUGAAAAUGAUAGCGGAUCUGUAUACGUAGUUGAACAACAAUGACCAGCCAUCAUGUCACAGAGAAAAGCGGGGAAGUUCUUGAUGUUCUCCAGUCCUAGAUUGGGAGAAACCUGAUCGACUUCCCAAUCCAAGAAGAAAGAACAAAGAAGAACAGAACAAAACCUUCAUGUUCGACAUCCAGAUUUCUAAAAGCAGACUCAC